ACCUGGGUGGCUUAGUCGGUUGAGCGUCUGACUUCGGCUCAGGUCACGAUCUCAUGGUUUGUGAGUUCGAGCCCCGCUUCGGGCU
rnacentral:tRNA from 1 species